GAAUCUGGCUUCAGGUUCGGGACAACAGUUGGAAACGGCUGCUAAUACCGGAUGUGCCUUAUGGUGAAAGAUUUAUCACCUGAAGAUGAGCUCGCGUCUGAUUAGCUAGUAGGUGUGGUAAGAGCGCACCUAGGCGACGAUCAGUAGCUGGUCUGAGAGGAUGAUCAGCCACACUGGGACUGAGACACGGCCCAGACUCCUACGGGAGGCAGCAGUGGGGAAUUUUCCGCAAUGGGCGAAAGCCUGACGGAGCAAUACCGCGUGAGGGAGGAAGGCUCUUGGGUUGUAAACCUCUUUUCUCAGGGAAGAAUGAUGACGGUACCUGAGGAAUAAGCAUCGGCUAACUCCGUGCCAGCAGCCGCGGUAAUACGGAGGAUGCAAGCGUUAUCCGGAAUGAUUGGGCGUAAAGCGUCCGCAGGUGGCAAUGUAAGUCUGCUGUCAAAGCGCCUGGCUCAACCAGAUAAAGGCAGUGGAAACUACAUAGCUAGAGUAAGGUAGGGGUAGAGGGAAUUCCUGGUGUAGCGGUGAAAUGCGUAGAGAUCAGGAAGAACACCGGUGGCGAAAGCGCUCUGCUGGACCUUAACUGACACUGAGGGACGAAAGCUAGGGGAGCG
rnacentral:rRNA from 1 species